rnacentral:rRNA from 1 species
GACGAACGCUGGCGGCGUGCUUAACACAUGCAAGUCGAACGGAAAGGCCCUGCUUUUGUGGGGUGCUCGAGUGGCGAACGGGUGAGUAACACGUGAGUAACCUGCCCUUGACUUUGGGAUAACUUUAGGAAACUGGGGCUAAUACCGGAUAGGAGCUCCUGCUGCAUGGUGGGGGUUGGAAAGUUUCGGCGGUUGGGGAUGGACUCGCGGCUUAUCAGCUUGUUGGUGGGGUAGUGGCUUACCAAGGCUUUGACGGGUAGCCGGCCUGAGAGGGUGACCGGCCACAUUGGGACUGAGAUACGGCCCAGACUCCUACGGGAGGCAGCAGUGGGGAAUAUUGCACAAUGGGCGGAAGCUUGAUGCAGCAACGCCGCGUGCGGGAUGACGGCCUUCGGGUUGUAAACCGCUUUCGCCUGUGACGAAGCGUGAGUGACGGUAAUGGGUAAAGAAGCACCGACUAACUACGUG